UUGGAUGCAAGUAAAUGUUACAUUUAGAAUUGAGUGUUACUUCAAUAGCCCCAAAGUUAGAGCUAGAUUGUAGUAAUCUUGUCUGACUCAAUUUAAUUGUAGAGUGUGGAUAACUUGUCGUUCAUUUUCAAGAGAUGGUGCGUGCUCCGCACACCACUCGAACCUUAUUUGAAACUUCUCCUAUCGAAUUAGUGUGUUCUUUAAGCACAAGUACU
rnacentral:lncRNA from 1 species